rnacentral:rRNA from 1 species
AAUGAACGCUGGCGGCGUGCCUAAUACAUGCAAGUCGAGCGAACAGACGAGGAGCUUGCUCCUGUGACGUUAGCGGCUGACGGUUUAGUAACACGUGGAUAACCUACCUGUAAGACUGGGAUAACUUCGGGAAACCGGAGCUAGUACCGGAUAAUAUAGUGAACCGCAUGGUUCAAUAGUGAAAGACGGUUUUGCUGUCACUUAUAGAUGGAUCCGCGCCGCAUUAGCUAGUUGUUAAGGUAAGGGCUUACCAAGGGAACGAGGCGUAUCCCACCUGAGCGGGUGAUCGGCUAGACUGGAAGUGAGAAAGGGCAGAGACUCUUAGGGUAGGAAGCAGUAGGGAAUCCUCCGCAAUGGGGGAAAGCCUGACGGAGGACAGUCGCGUGAGUGAUGAAGGUGUCAGGAUCGUAAAACUAUGUUAGUAGGGAAGAACAAAUGUGUAAGUAACUAUGAACGUAUUGACGGUACCUAAACAGAAAGCCACGGCUAACUACGUG